rnacentral:rRNA from 1 species
GACGAACGCUGGCGGCGUGCCUAAUACAUGCAAGUUGAGCGCUGAAGGUUGGUACUUGUACCAACUGGAUGAGCAGCGAACGGGUGAGUAACGCGUGGGGAAUCUGCCUUUGAGCGGGGGACAACAUUUGGAAACGAAUGCUAAUACCGCAUAACAACUUUAAACACAAGUUUUAAGUUUGAAAGAUGCAAUUGCAUCACUCAAAGAUGAUCCCGCGUUGUAUUAGCUAGUUGGUGAGGUAAAGGCUCACCAAGGCGAUGAUACAUAGCCGACCUGAGAGGGUGAUCGGCCACAUUGGGACUGAGACACGGCCCAAACUCCUACGGGAGGCAGCAGUAGGGAAUCUUCGGCAAUGGACGAAAGUCUGACCGAGCAACGCCGCGGGAGUGAAGAAGGGUUUCGGAUCGUAAAACUCUGUUGGUAGAGAAGAACGUGGGUGAGAGUGGAAAGCUCAUCAAGUGACGGUAACUACCCAGAAAGGGACGGCUAACUACGUG